GCCAACCUAAAAGCGUCCUCAUAUACGUGUCACUUUCUUGACGGAAGAGAGCCGCUUAGGUUGUAUAAAGACGUCACUUUAACCCGUGCCCAGCGGAGGCUUGAACCGUCCGGCAUGGCCUUAACGCGUGAAGGAAGACGGAUCCGUUCGGACUUUCUCCUUUUUGUUCGUGGGUAUAAAAAUACUAACAUCACCAUUGUCCUAUCACGUAAUACUAUAGUCGUACAUUGAAGACCUUUCCGUCUCCCAAAAUGUAGGAAAUGUUGUUUGAGGCAACAGAGCCGUACCGUUGAGGGUUCCGUUGAGGACGAUCUUGAAGAUGUCAGGAGCUGGCCUAAAGGCAUCGAGCG
rnacentral:rRNA from 1 species